UGGGUAACCUGCCUCAAAGAGGGGAAUAGCCUCCCGAAAGGGGAGAUUAAUACCGCAUAAUAUGUUUAGGUCGCAUGACUUUAACAUCAAAGGAUUUCUUUUAGAAAUUCCACUUUGAGAUGGACCCGCGGCGCAUUAGCUAGUUGGUGAGGUAACGGCUCACCAAGGCAACGAUGCGUAGCCGACCUGAGAGGUGAUCGGCCACAUUGGAACUGAGACACGGUCCAGACUCCUAGGAGG
rnacentral:rRNA from 1 species